UGAUAUCACGUGAUACAGGCCUCCGUCAUGUUCCAACUACCGCGAGUGAGGCGAGUCUAAAAUCUAAAUCUGAGAUGGCACCAGACAUUUCAAAUAAGAUCGUAAGAUAGAGAGAGGGGAGAGAGACGGAGGAGAAGCGGAGGAAGAUCCAUUUGAAGGCGACAUCAUCUUUACACGAGGGAGAUGAAUUGCUUUUAAUACUUUUGAAGAAGUUGCAGAGACGGAUAUAAUUUUGAAUUUUGCUCUGUGGCCUCUUGUUUCGAGAAUUAAAUGCAAUCGGCAACGCUUGUCGAUUAACUAACUAACAGCUUCUCUGUGGCGAGACUUCAGAGGAUAGAGCUGCUUCUUCUCUGUGAGGAUAGAGGUAGGAGGAUCAUGGUUCCAACACUUGAUGCUAUGAAGGGUGGUGGGGGCUCCGUUAGGAUAGGGGCUACUGGGACUGUCAGUUCUUUGAUGAGCAGGGAAUUGGAUUCUGUUAAACGGUCACCACAGUCAUCUAAAUCUUCUCCUAGAAAAUCUCCAACACUCAGUGUCUCUGUUCCUUGUGUUUCUAGGCCUAAAAGGUCGCCAAGAACAGCUGUAGUGAAUGAAGCAAGCAGUAGUGGCAGCAGCAGUAACCACAGAAGCCCUGGAAGUACUCGGAAAACAAGAUCAAGUGUCUUAAAGAAGUCACAUAGUAUCCCAAUGCUUGGCUCUGAUGAUACUAUUGUUGAUAAUAGUCCUAACAGAAAAAAACCUGAAAAGAAAGGAUCUUACAUUGUGGAAGUUGUUGAUCUAAAAUGUGGAAGCCAUGACAGAGCAUGGUCCAACCCAAUCACUCACCAGCUCCGGAAGCUCUCUUUCUCGAAGCUCUCGGAGAGAAUUGGCUAGAGCUUUAAAUUGUUCAUGUCGGCCUUCAGGUUUUUGUAAGAGAACCCAGGAACUCCAUUGGGCCGAGUACUAUCAGCAACCUCCACUACAGAACAGAUGCUAGGUAGAAGCCUCUUCUUCUUCUUCUUUUUCUUUGAUGUCAUGAUCAUGCACUCAAACUGGGGUUUGGACCCAUUAUUGGUGGAUGUAUGUUUGUAAUCUGCGACUGAGGUUUCUUGGGGAUUCCAUGGCUGGCCAACUCAAGUCUGCUGAAGUAGUCGAUCUCUUGUAGGACAAGGGAUCCAACCGUGCCUCGUGUACCAACCUCGACUGGAGAGGUUUCAGUCAUAGUUGCAGAGAAUUGGUAGCUGUUAGGAGAGCCUUUUAAUACAUAGUGUGGUUUGGAAGAAUGCUUUGUGGGCAAAUAGGAGAGGUGGGUUUGGGUUCUUGUAUUGGUAGGGGGGAAUUGUUUUGGAGGUUUGGGCAUGAAUCUUGGAUCUCAUAGGAGGGUUUUAUACACAAAAGUAAUUGUUAAAGCACUUCAUGAUCUCAAGUGGACAGCAUGGAUCAUUGCGUUCUCUCAGGUAUUGUAAAUAAAUUUUUCUUUAUCUUGUA